UGAAGAUCGAAGUUACAGUACUUAUUCAAAGGUAAAAGUUGAAGUAAAUGUUUACAUGUUGCACUAUAUUAUCUAUAAAUUGAAGUAGAAGUUAACAAAAUAUAUUGAUUGAUGGAUUGAUAAUUAUAGCAAACUAAAAAAUUCAAAAUUUGUUCAGAGCUGCUGAUUAGCUGCUCAUAAGUUUAAUAUCAAAUUUAAUGGUAGUAGUUUUUCUAAUUGCAGAAAUCUUCCAGCUCCCACUGGAAGUUGUGAGUUAUCUCAGCAUCUGCUAAUUAUUAUAAACUAAACUGGUUUCUAAUCAAAAUUAUAAGAGCACCACAAAGAGCGAAAACAACCAAUGGAUUUAUCAACUAUAACUCGAAAGCUGCUGAAUCAUUGUUCUGUUAAGGACUUGGAUGGAGACAAAUUGGUGUAGAUUUCUCAUCUAUAUAAUGGUGAACAUGGUGAAUUCUUUGUGUAUUGGAACUGACGAAACUGUUUUAAGAAAAAUUGUACAUAGAUGUGAAAGCUUAUGUGGUAAAAGGAAAAUAAAGUCUUAGUUUACGAUUUGGAUGAUAAAACACUAAAACCAUCAUCUGAUGAUUUUAAACAUUUGCUUUUUACUCUACCAGUUACAGUCAUCUCAGGGGACCACUACUUUAAAGAUGCUGACUAAUUAUAACCUCAUUAGCAUGCAGAGAAGGGGUACUUGUCUCAGACAAAGGAGGCAUCUAGUUGACUUUAAGAUUGGUAAGUAUACCAAUCUUAUAUCUGUUUCCAAAUUACUAAUAUACAUUU